AUUGAACGCUGGCGGCACGCCUUACACAUGCAAGUCGAACGGUAACAGGUCUUCGGAUGCUGACAAGUGGCGAACGGGUGAGUAAUACAUCGGAACGUGCCUGGUAGUGGGGGAUAACUACUCGAAAGAGUGGCUAAUACCGCAUGAGAUCUACGGAUGAAAGCAGGGGAUCGCAAGACCUUGUGCUACUAAAGCGGCCGAUGGCAGAUUAGGUAGUUGGUGGGAUAAAAGCUUACCAAGCCGACGAUCUGUAGCUGGUCUGAGAGGACGAUCAGCCACACUGGGACUGAGACACGGCCCAGACUCCUACGGGAGGCAGCAGUGGGGAAUUUUGGACAAUGGGCGAAAGCCUGAUCCAGCAAUGCCGCGUGCAGGAUGAAGGCCUUCGGGUUGUAAACUGCUUUUGUACGGAACGAAAAGCCCCGGGUUAAUACCCUGGGGUCAUGACGGUACCGUAGGAAUAAGCACCGGCUAACUACGUGCCAGCCGCCGCCGUAA
rnacentral:rRNA from 1 species